rnacentral:rRNA from 1 species
UACGUAGGGUGCGAGCGUUGUCCGGAAUUAUUGGGCGUAAAGGGCUCGUAGGCGGUUUGUCGCGUCGGGAGUGAAAUCCACUGGCUUAACUGGUGGCUUGCUUUCGAUACGGGCAGACUGGAGGUAUGCAGGGGGAGAACGGAAUUCCUGGUGUAGCGGUGAAAUGCGCAGAUAUCAGGAGGAACACCGGUGGCGAAGGCGGUUCUCUGGGCAUGUCCUGACACUGAGGAGCGAAAGUGUGGGGAGCGAACAGG